rnacentral:tRNA from 2 species
GCUUUGGUGGUGGAAUUGGUAGACACGAGGGACUUAAAAUCCCUUGGGCAGCAAUGCCUGUACGGGUUCAAGUCCCGUCCGAAGCACAA